rnacentral:rRNA from 1 species
CCUACGGGCGGCAGCAGUGAGGAAUAUUGGUCAAUGGACGAGAGUCUGAACCAGCCAAGUAGCGUGAAGGAUGACUGCCCUAUGGGUUGUAAACUUCUUUUAUAUGGGAAUAAAAUGUUGCACGUGUGGGAUUUUGUAUGUACCAUAUGAAUAAGGAUCGGCUAACUCCGUGCCAGCAGCCGCGGUAAUACGGAGGAUCCGAGCGUUAUCCGGAUUUAUUGGGUUUAAAGGGAGCGUAGGUGGAUUGUUAAGUCAGUGGUGAAAGUUUGCGGCUCAACCGUAAAAUUGCAGUUGAAACUGGCAGUCUUGAGUACAGUAGAGGUGGGCGGAAUUCGUGGUGUAGCGGUGAAAUGCUUAGAUAUCACGAAGAACUCCGAUUUCGAAGGCAGUUCACUAGACUGCAACUGACACUGAGGCUCGAAAGUGUGGGUAUCAAACAGGAUUAGAUACCCUUGUAGUC